rnacentral:tRNA from 1 species
GGUGAGAUGGCCGAGCGGUCUAAGGCGCCAGACUAAGGUGGUGCUAUCCACUGUAUCUGGUCCGAAAGGGCGUGGGUUCGAAUCCCACUCUCAUCA